rnacentral:rRNA from 1 species
UACGGGGGGAGCAAGCGUUGUUCGGAUUUACUGGGCGUAAAGGGCGCGUAGGCGGCCACCGCAAGUCGACUGUGAAAUCUCCGGGCUUAACUCGGAAAGGUCAGCCGAUACUGCGGGGCUAGAGUGCAGAAGGGGCAACUGGAAUUCUCGGUGUAGCGGUGAAAUGCGUAGAUAUCUGGAGGAACACCGGUGGCGAAGGCGGCAUCCUGGACCAACACUGACGCUGAGGAGCGAAAGCCAGGGGAGCAAACGGG